AGUCUUAUAGUCAUUUAUGAUAUAAAAUUGCAAAUUUUAAGGUGAAAAAAUUUCUAAGGCUU
rnacentral:tRNA from 1 species